rnacentral:rRNA from 1 species
UACGUAGGUGGCGAGCGUUGUCCGGAUUUACUGGGCGUAAAGAGCGCGCAGGCGGUCGUUCAAGUCGCGUGUGAAAGCCCCCGGCUCAACUGGGGAGGGUCACGCGAUACUGAUCGACUCGAAGGCAGGAGAGGGUAGUGGAAUUCCCGGUGUAGUGGUGAAAUUCGUAGAUAUUAGGAAGAACACCAGUGGCGAAGGCGGCUCACUGGUCCGGUACUGACGCUGAGGUGCGAAAGCGUGGGGAGCAAACAGG